GAUGAACGCUGGCGGCGUGCUUAACACAUGCAAGUCGAACGAUGAAGCCCAGCUUGCUGGGUGGAUUAGUGGCGAACGGGUGAGUAACACGUGAGUAACCUGCCCUUGACUCUGGGAUAAGCCUGGGAAACUGGGUCUAAUACUGGAUAUGACUUCUCAUCGCAUGGUGGGGGGUGGAAAGAUUUAUUGGUCUUGGAUGGACUCGCGGCCUAUCAGCUUGUUGGUGAGGUAAUGGCUCACCAAGGCGACGACGGGUAGCCGGCCUGAGAGGGUGACCGGCCACACUGGGACUGAGACACGGCCCAGACUCCUACGGGAGGCAGCAGUGGGGAAUAUUGCACAAUGGGCGCAAGCCUGAUGCAACGACGCCGCGUGAGGGAUGACGGCCUUCGGGUUGUAAACCUCUUUCAGUAGGGAAGAAGCGAGAGUGACGGUACCUGCAGAAGAAGCGCCGGCUAACUACGUG
rnacentral:rRNA from 1 species